AGGACGAACGCUGGCGGCGUGCUUAACACAUGCAAGUCGAGCGGAAAGGCCCUUCGGGGUACUCGAGCGGCGAACGGGUGAGUAACACGUGAGUAAUCUGCCCCUAGCUCUGGGAUAGCUCCGGGAAACCGGGAUUAAUACCGGAUACGACCACUUUAGACAUCUGUUGUGGUGGAAAGAAUUUUGGCUAGGGAUGAGCUCGCGGCCUAUCAGCUUGUUGGUGGGGUAAUGGCCUACCAAGGCGACGACGGGUAGCCGGCCUGAGAGGGCGACCGGCCACACUGGGACUGAGACACGGCCCAGACUCCUACGGGAGGCAGCAGUGGGGAAUAUUGCGCAAUGGGCGAAAGCCUGACGCAGCGACGCCGCGUGGGGGAUGAAGGCCUUCGGGUUGUAACCCCUUUCAGCAGGGACGAAGCGAAAGUGACGGUACCUGCAGAAGAAGCGCCGGCUAACUACGCGCCAGCAGCCGC
rnacentral:rRNA from 1 species